UAAGGAAUAUUGGUCAAUGGACGCAAGUCUGAACCAGCCAUGCCGCGUGAAGGAUGAAGGUCCUCUGGAUUGUAAACUUCUUUUAUCUGGGACGAAAACGGGAUUUUUAUCUCAAUUGACGGUACCAGAGGAAUAAGCACCGGCUAACUCCGUGCCAGCAGCCGCGGUAAUACGGAGGGUGCGAGCGUUAUCCGGAUUUACUGGGUUUAAAGGGUGCGUAGGCGGAUGAAUAAGUCAGUGGUGAAAUCUCCGAGCUUAACUCGGAAACUGCCGUUGAUACUAUGUGUCUUGAAUAUUGUGGUGGUAAGCGGAAUAUGUCAUGUAGCGGUGAAAUGCUUAGAUAUGACAUAGAACACCAAUUGCGAAGGCAGCUUGCUACACAAUCAUUGACGCUGAGGCACGAAAGCGUGGGGAUCAAA
rnacentral:rRNA from 1 species